rnacentral:rRNA from 1 species
AUUGAACGCUGGCGGAAUGCUUUACACAUGCAAGUCGAACGGCAGCACGGACUUCGGUCUGGUGGCGAGUGGCGAACGGGUGAGUAAUGUAUCGGAACGUGCCCAGUCGUGGGGGAUAACGUAGUGAAAAUUACGCUAAUACCGCAUACGAUCUAUGGAUGAAAGCGGGGGAUCGCAAGACCUCGCGCGAUUGGAGCGGCCGAUAUCAAAUUAGGUAGUUGGUGGGGUAAAGGCCCACCAAGCCAACGAUCUGUAGCUGGUCUGAGAGGACGACCAGCCACACUGGAACUGAGACACGGUCCAGACUCCUACGGGAGUCAGCAGUGGGGAAUUUUGGACAAUGGGCGAAAGCCUGAUCCAGACAUUCCGCGUGCAGGAUGAAGGCCCUCGGGUUGUAAACUGCUUUUGUACAGAACGAAAAGGUUUCUACUAAUACUAGGAGCUCAUGACGGUACUGUAAGAAUAAGCACCGGCUAACUACGUGCCAGCAGCCGCAGUAA